CCCCUAAAAUGACUCUUAAGAAUAUGGUUUAAUUUUUUAUUCUAUCGGAAUGGUGUAUUUACAUAAAUAAUCGUCACACACAUAUAAUAAUAAUAAUAAUAAUAAUAAUAAUAAUAAUAAAUAGAACUCAUUUUUUUGAAUCUUUUUAUUUGGAAAAACUCCAACAAUUCAGAUUUCAUCUGAAUUUUUGUAACUUCAAUCCCGCCCUAAUCAAACUCCCCUGCAUGCUACCCCUUCCAAAUCAAACUCAGUCCUACACGCCCAAAUCUUUUCUUCUCUCUUCUCUGUGUGGAAUUUGGGGAAAUGAAUAGCGGGCGCACUUCCGCCGGAGGAGGGAGAGGUCGAUCAUGACCGUCGACAACAUCCGUAUCGUCAUCAGGAAAACUCAACAUGGACCCACCUCCCGAUUCUUCUGCUCCCUCCAAGGUUUAAUCACAACUCUCCUUUUCUCAUUCAUUCUGGAUGUGAUUGUUUAUUCAAUUUUAUGAAGCGGGUCUUGUGAUUUAUGGAGUUUGUUAGUUUAUUGUGUAAUUUUUUUUGGCUAAUUCAACUCUUUUUGUAAUACGAAGAGAAUAUAAUAUUGUAUGUUUGGUUUUAAUCUGUUGCUUACUAACUGUUUGCAAAAAUGGCCAAGUGCGUUGAAGCAAGUCAACGUGGAUGUACCACUUCUUUGAACUCUGAAUCACACACUCAUCCCAUUCACCAGUG
rnacentral:lncRNA from 1 species